GAUGAACGCUGGCGGCGUGCCUAAUACAUGCAAGUCGAGCGAACAGACGCGGAGCUUGCUCCUCUGACGUUAGCGGCGGACGGGUGAGUAACACGUGGAUACCCUACCUAUAAGACUGGUAUAACUUCGGGAAACCGGCGCUAAUACCGGAUAAUAUCUUGCACCGCAUGGUUCAAUAGUGAAAGACGGUUUUGCUGUCACUUAUAGCUGGAUCCGCGCCGCAUUAGAUAGUUGGUAAGGUAACGGCUUACCAAGGCAACGAUGCGUAGCCGACCUGAGAGGGGGAUAGGCCACACGGGAACUGAGACACGGUCCAGACGCCUAAGGGAGGCAGCAGUAGGGAAUCGUCCGCAAUGGGCGAAAGCCUGACGGAGCAACGCCGCGUGAGUGAUGAAGGUCUUCGGAUCGUAAAACUCUGUUAUUAGGGAAGAACAAAUGUGUAAGUAACUAUGCACGUCUUGACGGUACCGAAUCAGAAAGCCACGGCUAACUACGUG
rnacentral:rRNA from 1 species